GACGAACGCUGGCGGCGUGCUUAACACAUGCAAGUCGAACGGAAAGGCCCUGCUUUUGUGGGGUGCUCGAGUGGCGAACGGGUGAGUAACACGUGAGUAACCUGCCCUUGACUUUGGGAUAACUUCAGGAAACCGGGGCUAAUACAGGAUAGGAGCUCCUGCUGCAGGGUGGGGGUUGGAAAGCUUCGGCGGAUGGGGAUGGACUCGCGGCUUAUCAGCUUGUUGGUGGGGUAGUGGCUUACCAAGGCUUUGACGGGUAGCCGGCCUGAGAGGGUGACCGGCGACAUUGGGACUAAGGGACGGCCCAGACGCCUACGGGAGGCAGCAGUGGGGAAUAUUGCACAAUGGGCGGAAGCCUGAUGCAGCAACGCCGCGUGCGGGAUGACGGCCUUCGGGUUGUAAACCGCUGUCGCCUGUGACGAAGCGGGAGUGACGGUAAUGGGUAAAGAAGCACCGGCUAACUACGUG
rnacentral:rRNA from 1 species